rnacentral:rRNA from 1 species
AUGGGGAACCGUCAGGGCACAAUGAGGCCCAGGCGGCUCAAGAGCGCGAGAGCGACGGGGGAGGAGCUGGGGUCGUACGAGCAGGCGUGCAACGCGGACCCGGAGCUGCGGAGCUUCGACGCGGCGCUGCGUCGGCGCGCGAGCCUCGCCGUGUCGGCGGCGGCGUCCGGGGUGGAGGUGCGGUCCAUGUCCCUGGGCUCCCUCCGCGAGGUCACCGGCUGCCUGGUGGAGAUGAACCAGGAGGUGGUCCGCGUGGUGCUCGCCAGCAAGCACGACGUGUGGGGGUGCCCCGAGCUGUUGGCGCUGGUGGAGGACUACUUCGACGCCAGCCUCCACACCCUCGACUUCCUCGCCGCGCUCGACAAGGCCCUCCGCCGCGCCCGCGACGCGCAGCUCGUCCUCCACCUCGCGCUCCAGGUCCAAGACCCGGCCGUCCGGCCCCCGCGCGCGCUCGGCGCGCUGCGGCGGUUCAAGGAGGCGGCCGGCGGCGAGCCGUUCACGGACGAGUUCUUCGCCGCGUUCCAGGCCGCGUACCGGCAGCAGCUGGGCAUGCUGGACAGGCUGCGGCGGCAGAAGCGCCGCCUGGACGGGCGCCUCCGGUCGCUCCGCGUCUGGCGCCGCGUGACGGGCGUCGUCUUCGCGACCACCUUCGCGGCGAUCCUCGUCUGCUCGGUGGUGGCCGCGGCCAUCGCCGCGCCACCCGUCGCGGCCGCGCUGGCGGCCGCGGCGUCGCUGCCCGUGGGCUCCGCCGGGAAGUGGGUGGAUGCGAUGCUGAAGCGGUACCGGGACGCGCUCCGGGGGCACAAGGACGUGGUGGGCGCAAUGCAGGUCGGCACGUUCGUCGCCAUCGAGGAGCUGGACAGCAUACGCGCGCUCGUCGGCCGGCUCGAGGUCCAGGUCGGCUCCAUGGUGGACUGCGCGGAGCUGGCGGAGCGCGACGAGGAGGCUGCGAGGUUGGCGAUUGACGAGGUGAAGAAGAAGCUAGAGGCAUUCAUGAAGAACGUGGAUGAUCUCGGGCAGCAGGCGGACAAGUGUAGCCGGGACAUCCGGCAGGCCAGGACCGUCGUGCUGCAGAGGAUCAUCCAUCCCCAUUAA